UACGGAGGGUGCGAGCGUUGUUCGGAAUCACUGGGCGUAAAGCGCGUGUAGGCGGCCCAUUAAGUCUGAUGUGAAAGCCCGGGGCUCACCCCCGGAAGUGCAUUGGAAACUGAUGGACUCGAGUCCCGGAGAGGAGAGUGGAAUUCCUGGUGUAGCGGUGAAAUGCGUAGAUAUCAGGAGGAACACCGGUGGCGAAGGCGGCUCUCUGGACGGUGACUGACGCUGAGACGCGAAAGCGCGGGGAGCAAACAGG
rnacentral:rRNA from 1 species